UGUGCCUUUUUGCAAUUCUGGCUGAACCAUUGUGAAGCGUUUUGUUCUCCAUGUACAAAACAGACCCUUCACACAAAAUAGCCUGUAUUGUAAAAAGGACUUUCUACAAGCUACAA